rnacentral:lncRNA from 1 species
GGAGCCUUUUAAUUGCAAAGCAGGCGACGGCGCGCUCGGGCUAAUUAAGCCUACCCUAAAACAAAUUAAAGGGACUUAGCGGGCUCCCUCGCCGUCGAGGCCGUGCGUACAGCCGAGCGAGCCGCCGCGGAACGCGCGUUCCCACAAGNNNNNNNNNNNNNNNNNNNNUCCCGACCGGUGACUCUGCUCCUGGAGCUCCCGCUCAGCGCCGUGGGUUGUUUCCUGCCGCGAGCUUUCCCUCCUAAUCAGCUUUGCUCAUGUUUUCCCCUCGGCUUUGGAGAUUAGCCCUCCGCAGCCGCCAGGUGCGUACACACGGAGCGGGAGAAGGGCGAGGGGGAGGAGGCUCCAGUUUCCCUCGUUAUUUUAAGCGAACGCUCCAAUCUGCUGCUUAGAUAAGGUUGAGAAAAGCGCUCCUACCCGGACGCGGCGGCGGCUGGGCACCGCAGAGACUUAAACAAAAGCGGGCUCGAGGCCGACAGAAGCCAGACGGCCCCGGGAGCGCCACCACCGAGGGAAGCCAAGAGCUGGCUGCGAGGGGAAACCCGCGGCUCGGCCCCAAUGUGGGCAACCGCGGGGGCCGGGGAGGAGCUCAAAAACCCCACAGCAACUCGGCUCCCUCGCAGGCAGUUAUUGAGGCUGGAGGGCGAUGGCUCAGACCGCUCUGCUCUCAGAGGCUGCCGAGUGAGAAAACCAAAGCAAGGGCCUGGCAGAGCACAAAUCGAGCCGCUACUUCAAGCAAUUACCCACAGCAAAACGCGCCCCACGCCUGGACGGUGCAGAAGCCACAAGGAGCACUCAAGCCUCACUUAAGCCCCCGAGAUAGAAGGGGAAUUUUCUGGCUCGGGGCAUAAAGGCGAGUGUCACGGUUCGGAGGAACCUCUCGGCAGGACGAGCUCCUUGUCCGUCCCCGCCACAGAGAUGCCUUUAAUCUCAGCUUAAAAUAUUCUGACGUGGCGGGGGAAAAAAGGAAAAAAAAAAAAAGGUCCAUCUAUAUCCUGCCCCGCAGCAGCAUGUAACAAGGGGGCUGUGUGUUUGUGUCCAGCAUAAAAGACUCCGGCCGUGUAUUUAUCUUGGAUUGUGAACGUGAAAAUUAGGCACAGCGAAAACAUCGCCUCUCGCGCUCUCCGCCCCCUUCCCCGAUUGCUCGCACAAACCCAAAUUGUAGCCGCCGGGAUGUUUUUGGCUUCUGCUUUGAAGGGAGAAAUCAAUCAGGUGGCAGCAGCCAGCGGAGGCUCAGGCGUCCCCCUGUUUAUUUUCUUUACGUAUGGUCCCAGGAUAAGUUAAAUAUUUCCCCCAAGGUCAGUGCUAACUGGUGCGGCUGCUCAGGAGCUCACGUUCCCCUCCCGCAGGCUCCCCCCCCCAA